UGACGCCUGCCCGGUGCUGGAAGAUUAAAUGAUGGGGUGCAAGCUCUUGAUUGAAGUCCCAGUAAACGGCGGCCGUAACUAUAACGGUCCUAAGGUAGCGAAAUUCCUUGUCGGGUAAGUUCCGACCCGCACGAAUGGCGUAACGAUGGCCACACUGUCUCCUCCUGAGACUCAGCGAAGUUGAAAUGUUUGUGAAGAUGCAAUCUACCCGCUGCUAGACGGAAAGACCCCGUGAACCUUUACUGUAGCUUUGCAUUGGACUUUGAACAGACUUGUGUAGGAUAGGUGGGAGGCUAUGAAGUACGGACGCUAGUUCGUAUGGAGCCGUCCUUGAAAUACCACCCUGGUGUGUUUGAGGUUCUAACCUUGGUCCGUGAUCCGGAUCGGGGACAGUGCAUGGUAGGCAGUUUGACUGGGGCGGUCUCCUCCCAAAGUGUAACGGAGGAGUUCGAAGGUUACCUAGGUACGGUCGGAAAUCGUGCUGAUAGUGCAAUGGCAAAAGGUAGCUUAACUGCGAGACCGACAAGUCGAGCAGGUGCGAAAGCAGGACAUAGUGAUCCGGUGGUUCUGAAUGGAAGGGCCAUCGCUCAACGGAUAAAAGGUACUCCGGGGAUAACAGGCUGAUUCCGCCCAAGAGUUCACAUCGACGGCGGAGUUUGGCACCUCGAUGUCGGCUCAUCACAUCCUGGGGCUGUAGCCGGUCCCAAGGGUAUGGCUGUUCGCCAUUUAAAGUGGUACGUGAGCUGGGUUCAAAACGUCGUGAGACAGUUUGGUCCCUAUCUGCAGUGGGCGUUGGAAGUUUGACGGGGGCUGCUCCUAGUACGAGAGGACCGGAGUGGACGCACCUCUGGUGGACCGGUUGUGACGCCAGUCGCAUCGCCGGGUAGCUAAGUGCGGAAGAGAUAACCGCUGAAAGCAUCUAAGCGGGAAACUUGCCUGAAGAUGAGACUUCCCUGGAGGCUUGACCUCCCUGAAGAGUCGUUCGAGACCAGGACGUUGAUAGGUCGGGUGUGGAAGCGCUGUGAGGCGUUAAGCUAACCGAUACUAAUUGCUCGUGAGGCUUGAUCCU
rnacentral:rRNA from 1 species